CCUACGGGAGGCAGCAGUAAGGAAUAUUGGUCAAUGGACGCAAGUCUGAACCAGCCAUGCCGCGUGAAGGAUUAAGGCCCUCUGGGUUGUAAACUUCUUUUAUAGGGGACGAAAAAAGGGCAUUCUUGCUCACUUGACGGUACCCUAGGAAUAAGCACCGGCUAACUCCGUGCCAGCAGCCGCGGUAAUACGGAGGGUGCAAGCGUUAUCCGGAUUUACUGGGUUUAAAGGGUGCGUAGGUGGGUUGGUAAGUCAGUGGUGAAAUCUUCGAGCUUAACUCGGAAACUGCCAUUGAUACUAUCAAUCUUGAAUCAUCUAGAGGUAAGCGGAAUAUGUCAUGUAGCGGUGAAAUGCUUAGAUAUGACAUAGAACACCAAUUGCGAAGGCAGCUUACUAUGGAUGCAUUGACACUGAGGCACGAAAGCGUGGGGAUCAAACAGGAUUAGAUACCCUGGUAGUCCACGCCCUAAACCGAUGGAUACUCGACAUUUGUGAUAUACAAUAAGUGUCUUGAGCGAAAGCAUUAAGUAUCCCACCUGGAAGUACGACCGCAAGUUGAAACUCAAAGAUUAGAGCGNGAGAGAGCGACGACGACGACGAGGGAGGAGG
rnacentral:rRNA from 1 species